GUGGCUGGGGAUUCAGGGGCGAAUUCAAGUCACUGAAGAGCUUGCGAAGAAAGGCUGGCCGGGGGAGCGAGGGUGUAAACUGUGUGGGGAACCGGAAACUGCUGAUCAUGUGCUGCUCCUUUGUCCCAUUGCUUCCUUUGUGUGGGUUAUUCUUCGGGAUAGUUUUGGUUGGUCGGCAGCCCCACAAUCUUUUGGGGAUUUCCGGGCGCUGUGCCUACUCAAGGAAGGGCCGAGUAGGCACAAAUGGUGUGUUCAGGGCACCGGGGUUUCUUACUGGAAAACUCUACUCCAUGAAAAACGUCGAGAGCCGACGAUGAAGAUGGUAGCUAAGGUGUUGGAGGUCCUGCAACUGUGUGUGAAGGAGGAGAAGAACCGCAAGUUGGCAAUGUUGGUUCCGGCUGGUUGAUCUUUGGUAGUUGGUGUCUCGUUUGGGAGGCGUUGUUUUCUGUUGUGGAUGUGAUCGUUGGGUGUUGGGUGUUGGCUGUUUCGGUUGUUUGUUGAAUCUUGCUGGCUCUCCAGUUUGCGCCAUGACGCUGUAUGACUGUGGCUUUCUUAAUAAAGCCGGGCGAAAGCCUUUCUCUAAAAAAAAAGUGCUUUCGGAUUUUUAGAGAAAA